UUUCGUUUCAUUUCCCCAAGUAACCGUAUGAAUUAAAUUGGAAAUGAAAGUUUUGUUUUUAUUAUUUUAUUAUUAUCUAUAUUAAUAAAAUAUUAAAUACUAACACUUUUUUUUUUAUUAGAAUAACUCGGACAUACUAGCUGAAUAUUACUUUUUCUUAAUUCCAAAUUAUACUAUUUGACAAGAGCUAUAAAAUGAGUAUAAUAUCGAUAUAUUUUUAAUAACUUUUAAAAUACUUAAAUAUUCGAUCCAAAUAAGUUACGAUAAAUUAAAAAUAUACGCUUGCGGAAUAAACCAUUUAUGCAAAUAAGUGGGACGUGUUUAUCACUUCAACUUUUCGACUUUAGUGUGACGACAGUGUUGGACACGGAUUAUUUUAUUUGUUA
rnacentral:lncRNA from 1 species